rnacentral:tRNA from 1 species
GUAGCUCAGCCAGGCAGAGCGGCGGGCUCCAGACCCGUAGGUCGGGGGUUCGAAUCCCCCC